rnacentral:misc_RNA from 1 species
UUGCCAGGUGCUUCUUUUUUCGGCAACCUUCAACGAAACUGUCAAAGCAUUUGUGUCAAAGGUGAUUACAGAGGGCAACCAAAUAUUUGUGAAAAAAGAAGAUCUCUCGUUGGACAAAGUAAAGCAAUACAAGGUUUUCUGUCCGGAUGAACUUGCCAAACUUGAGGUUAUAAAGACCAAGAUUUUUGAAUUCGGAGAGAAAGUGGGACAGACCAUAAUAUUUGUUCGCACAAGAAACAGCGCCAGCAUGUUACAUAAGACACUAAAAAAUGAAGGUUAUGAGUGUACAUCUAUACAAGGUACUCUCAGGCAAGAGGACAGGGAACAAGUUAUAAGGG